rnacentral:tRNA from 1 species
UAUAUAUUAGUGUUUAAUGCACAUAAAUUUUUGAAGUUUAAGGAAAUAAUUUAAAUUAUUAAAUAUAA